rfam:Ictidomys tridecemlineatus contig094625, whole genome shotgun sequence.
AGAGUUGUGGCUCAGUGGUAGAGUGCUUUCUUGGAAUGUGUGAGGCCCUGGGUUCGAUCCUCAGCGUCUCAC